rnacentral:rRNA from 1 species
GAUAAAUGCUGGCGGCGUGCCUAAUACAUGCAAGUCGAGCGGUAAGGCCCUUCGGGGUACACGAGCGGCGGACGGCUGAGUAACGCGUGGGAACAUGCCCCAAAGUGAGGGAUAACGCACCGAAAGGUGUGCUAAUACCGCAUAUGGUCUUCGGAUUAAAGGAUUUAUCCGCUUUGGGAGUGGCCCGCGUACGAUUAGAUUGUUGGUGAGGUAACGGCUCACCAAGUCGACGAUCGUUAACUGGUCUGAGAGGAUGAUCAGUCAGACUGGAACUGAGACACGGUCCAGACUCCUACGGGAGGCAGCAGUAAGGAAUCUUCCACAAUGGGCGAAAGCCUGAUGGAGCAACGCCGCGUGCAGGAUGAAGGCCCUCGGGUCGUAAACUGCUUUAUGAGUGAAGAAUAUGACGGUAACUCAUGAAUAAGCACCGGCUAACUACGUGCCAGCAGCCGCG